rnacentral:rRNA from 1 species
AUUGAACGCUGGCGGCAUGCCUUACACAUGCAAGUCGAACGGCAGCGCGGGGGCAACCCUGGCGGCGAGUGGCGAACGGGUGAGUAAUACAUCGGAACGUGUCCUGGAGUGGGGGAUAGCCCGGCGAAAGCCGGAUUAAUACCGCAUACGCUCUGUGGAGGAAAGCGGGGGAUCUUCGGACCUCGCGCUCAAGGGGCGGCCGAUGGCAGAUUAGCUAGUUGGUGGGGUAAAGGCCUACCAAGGCGACGAUCUGUAGCUGGUCUGAGAGGA